AUUUAAUUAAUCUAUAUGUAUAACCAAUGUAUCUAUAAUACCUAUAUGUAGCUACGUAGCUACUCGAUAUCAGUGUAUGUUGUAUAUAAUUUCGUUUUUCAUGGUUAUUUAUUGCCUUUCUCUAAAUCUAAUUUUUAUACUCGCGGGAUAAACAAAUUUACAUAAAAAAAAAAAAUGUUUUAUUUGUUUUUUGAAAAAAAUCUACAACUUCAAGAAUAUGCGAAAGCGAGUCGCAAUCGACUAGAACGUAUGUCUCGAUUGACUUAUUGGCCACCCCUGAUAUAAUAUAGAACCUGAAAUAUGCAUCCCAUCGUUAGGACAAGGUUGAGGCUCGGAAAGUUCGAAUCCGUCUGGAUUCAUGCUCGGCAACAAGUGAAUGAUGGUGGUUCGCAACAGAUUGUUAAUUGCUUUGUUUUUCGAAUUGUUUUCUAAUAAAUACUGUAGAUUUUGAACAUAAA